rnacentral:rRNA from 1 species
UACGGAGGGUGCAAGCGUUAUCCGGAUUUACUGGGUUAAAGGGUGCGUAGGUGGGUAGGAAAGUCAGUGGUGAAAUCUUCGGGCUUAACCGGAAACUGCCAUUGAUACUAUUUAUCUUGAAUACUUUGGAGGUAAGCGGAAUAUGUCAUGUAGCGGUGAAAUGCUUAGAUAUGACAUAGAACACCAAUUGCGAAGGCAGCUUACUACACAGUUAUUGACACUGAGGCACGAAAGCUGGGAUCAAACAGG